rnacentral:rRNA from 1 species
GACGAACGCUGGCGGCGUGCCUAAUACAUGCAAGUCGAACGGACAAUUCCAAAUCUUGCUUGUUAAUCGUUAGCGGCGCACGGGUGAGUAACACGUGUGCAACCUGCCCUGUAGACGGGGAUAACACCGAGAAAUCGGUUCUAAUACCGGAUAACACGCACUGUCGCAUUGCGGGUCGGUAAAAGGCGGCGCAAGCUGCCGCUACAGGAGGUGCCCGCGGCGCAUUAGCGGGUUGGUGAGGUAACGGCUCACCAAGGCGACGAUGCGGAGCCGAACUGAGAGGGUGAUAGGCCACACUGGGACUGAGACACGGACCAGACUCCUACGGGAGGCAGCAGUAGGGAAUAUUACGCAAUGGACGAAAGUCUGACGGAGCAACGCCGCGUGAGAGAAGAAGGCCUUCGGGUCGUAAAGAUCUGUUGUUAGGGAAGAACCAGUAACGUAGUAAAUGAAGUUACUAUGACGGUACCUACCGAGAAAGCAACGGCUAACUACGUG